GCCAACGUUCAUAUCACGUUGAAUACACCAGUUCUCGUCCGAUCAGUGAAGUUAAGCAAAGUUGAGCGUGGAUAGUGCUUGGAUGGGUGACCGCUUGGGAACAUCACGUAACGUUGGCG
rnacentral:rRNA from 1 species